CCAUAUUCUGUUGUUCACUUAAAACAAGUACUGAGGUUAACCCUAAAACUUAACAACUAGAUUUUCUUUCUCAGUCUAAAACACUAAAGCCGCUCUUGCCCCUCUCACUCCUUUCACUUCCCGUGUUAAAUCUCUUAACAUUACUCAUCUUUUUUGGAUCUAUAAAUCAAAAUCCGUGUUUAAUGGAUCAAGAUGAACACCAACUUUUCCUUGAACACCACACUUAACCGUCACAUAUCCAAAUGACUAAGUGGUAACCUUGAACUAUUUCAUUUCUCUUGCCAUUGCACUACACUUUUGCAGUAGAUGUGAUUAUACUCACAACAUAAUGACAAGAAGAUUUGACGACAUGAAUUAUUACAAAGAGUGAGAUGAAUAGCCGGAGAUCGAUAAGUUGCUGGUUGCAACCAUCAAAUCUUAUAGAGACAACAAGAACACGAUGGAACAGAGGUUGCAGGUGACAGGUGCGUCCUCGUCAGCGACGUGGAUGUAGAUUUGCGUCUCCGUUGCUCUCUCUCCCUCGCACUCGCUAGCGUUUCCUUCCAGCACAUCUCAAUUUCGCAGCUUCAUCGCACAAUUAUCCGUGCAGAUAACAUCAUUUCGAUAACUCAAUGGUGUACUCUGAAUUGUUCCCUCCUUUGCUCCAUGCCUUCUUGUCUUUUUCAUUUAGAUAAUCUGUUGCUUAAGAGUGAUUGCUUGAUUUUUGUUGCGGUUUGGUCGUAGCAGAUCCUUUUUGUGAUAAUAUUGAGGAAAACCAUUAUGCAAAGGUCGCAAUCGAUAGAAUAAAAGGUUCUGUAGAAGAUAGAGGAACGCAUUCAUUAGAAGGAUUGAGAUGUUGAACAAUUUGAAUAGAAAAGUGAACAUCGUAUACCUUGAGAUGUUGAACAAUUUGAACUCUCUGUCUGUCUAAAGAUGCGAAUCAUAAAGGUUAGUUUAGUAGCAUGAAUGAGCUCAAAGAUGCAAACAUCAGGUACUUGAAAGUCUAAAAUUUGUUCUUGUUUUAACAUUUGUUAUCAGGUACUUUGUUAUCACAUGCUUCUUGUGGGAAUUAAAGUAUCUCCUACAAAACAUAGGUGGUAAUGUCUGCCCUGAAAGAGAGAAACAGUUAUUUUGUAAUUCAACUUAUGUUCUACAAGCCAAACCUGUCAUUGAAGCUUACCAGGGGUCCAUUGGAAUGGAUGGAUGCAUGAUGCAUGAUGCAUCACAAGUUCACAACCAAGAAGAACGAAUUACAAGUUUUGAAAGAACUUCCUCAAUCAAGGGCUGAAACGUGGUUAUCAGUAGCCUUCGAUUCUUCUGCAAAAUUACAAGUUACUUUGCAUUUGAAAAGCAAAAGAUGGCCAUGAGAUAGAGAGUGAUACUCUACUAGGGAUGUCAAUGGUGUGGGCGCUCCCCAUCCUGGAAUUUUAAAAAACAUUAAUUUUAAAUUUUAAUACAAGUAAAUUUAAAAAA